ACGGAGGGUGCAAGCGUUAUCCGGAUUUACUGGGUUUAAAGGGUGCGUAGGCGGAUCUUUAAGUCAGUGGUGAAAGUUUGCGGCUCAACCGUAAAAUUGCCAUUGAAACUGAAGGUCUUGAGUGCAAAUGAGGUAGGCGGAAUGUGUUGUGUAGCGGUGAAAUGCUUAGAUAUAACACAGAACCCCGAUUGCGAAGGCAGCUUACUGGGAUGAAACUGACGCUGAGGCACGAAAGCGUGGGGAGCAAACAG
rnacentral:rRNA from 1 species